rnacentral:rRNA from 1 species
GAUGAACGCUGGCGGCGUGCCUAAUACAUGCAAGUCGAGCGAACAGACGAGGAGCUUGCUCCUCUGACGUUAGCGGCGGACGGGUGAGUAACACGUGGAUAACCUACCUAUAAGACUGGGAUAACUUCGGGAAACCGGAGCUAAUACCGGAUAAUAUAUUGAACCGCAUGGUUCAAUAGUGAAAGACGGUUUUGCUGUCACUUAUAGAUGGAUCCGCGCCGCAUUAGCUGGUUGGUAAGGUAACGGCUUACCAAGGCGACGAUGCGUAGCCGACCUGAGAGGGUGAUCGGCCACACUGGAACUGAGACACGGUCCAGACUCCUACGGGAGGCAGCAGUAGGGAAUCUUCCGAAAUGGGCGAAAGCCUGACGGAGCAACGCGGCGUGAGUGAUGAAGGUCUUCGGAUCGUAAAACUCUGUUAUGAGGGAAGAACAAAUGUGUAAGUAACUAUGCACGUCUUGACGGUACCUAAGCAGAAAGCCACGGCUAACUACGU